rnacentral:rRNA from 1 species
CAGUCGCCACGGUAAUACAGAGGGUGCGAGCGUUAAUCGGAUUUACUGGGCGUAAAGCGUGCGUAGGCGGCUUUUUAAGUCGGAUGUGAAAUCCCUGAGCUUAACUUAGGAAUUGCAUUCGAUACUGGGAAGCUAGAGUAUGGGAGAGGAUGGUAGAAUUCCAGGUGUAGCGGUGAAAUGCGUAGAGAUCUGGAGGAAUACCGAUGUCGAAGGCAGCCAUCUGGCCUAAUACUGACGCUGAGGUACGAAAGCAUGGGGAGCAAACAGGAUUAGAUACCCGGGUAGUCCCUGUCUCUUAUAC